rnacentral:tRNA from 1 species
UUGAUAGAAGCCAAAAAGAGGCUUGUCACUGUUAAUGAUAACAAUGAAAUUCUAUUUCCUAUCAAA